ensembl:lncRNA
AUGGUGGAGCAAGACUGCUAUUUAUUAGUACUUGUCACUUUUCAGCUCUAGAAGGCUUGUUAUGGUAUUGCAGAAAGGAAUCAGCAACUGCUGUGCCAGACUCUGCAGAAAUGCAGAAUGCAGCCCCUUCCCUCGGUAACUUCUGAAGACGUGGUAAGCUUUGUGAGGAAUACAAAUCUAGACACAAUCUGAACCCAACUUUCUUUCUCAAAUGAAAGCAAUUAUUUUAGCAUGAAAAUUAUUUUUAUAUGGCAUAAAAGCUAGUAGAGUUGAUUGUGAGGUGAUGUUUAUUUGCUUAAAAUCCCCUCCAGACAAGAAACAGAUCGUACCAGAAACCUUUGCCUAAGUGUUACGGACAGAAUACAUUUCCUUAAAAGGCAUACCUACGUGGAAAUAAUGUUAACUUGCUUGUAAGAAUGGUUGCUCACUGGUUUUGGGGACAGCAGAGCCUGUGUCCUUGAUUUCAGCUAUAAAAUGACAGACUUUUUAGGAAAUACUCACCGGCACCUCAGCUGAUUGCCUGUCCUGAAGAUCAUUCUGAGUGGCUUGACAGUAUCUGAGCCUACCUGACUGUCUGAUUGUGAAAUAUUGAGCUGGGCUGUGAGCUGGAGCAAGUGGGGGCCUGAAGACUGAAAAAGAAGAGUUUGCAUCCUCAGAUACAGCUGAAAUAACUUGUCUUCUUGGGCAGAGCGUCCAUAGAAGGAAGUAUUUAAAUAUUUAUGUCACUGGGGAAGCCAGAAAAUACCUGAACAAAACUCUCAUGUUGGCUAAUCACAGAAUCACUAAGGUUGGGAAAGACCUCUAAGAUCACCCAGUCCAACUAUCAGCCUAUUCCCACCAUGCCCACUCACCACGUCCCUCCGUGCCACAUCCACAGGGUUCUUGAAUAUCUCCAGGGAUGGUGACUCCACCACCUCCCUGAGCAGCCUGUGCCAGUGCAUUGCCACUCUGUCCGAGAGGACAUCUGUCAUCAUUUUUUGACAUCUGUCAAAAAAUACCUGAGAGAAGGUGAGAACCUGUCUGAUCAACGUGAGGAAUUAUCAACAAGAUCAAUCUUCCCAAAUGGAGGCCUACUGAUGCAAAACAAACAAAAAAACCCAAACAAACCCAAAUGAUGCAGUGAGAUUGGGUUUGGAUAAGAGGUGGAGCACUUCUACAUCUGGCAAAGAGUAGACUCCAGUGCAAAUACCACGUUCCUUCUGCUGCUGAAAAUUCAGAAAGUCAACCAGUCAGACAGU